AUUGAACGCUGGCGGCAUGCCUUACACAUGCAAGUCGAACGGUAACAGGUCUUCGGAUGCUGACGAGUGGCGAACGGGUGAGUAAUACAUCGGAACGUGCCCAGACGUGGGGGAUAACGAGGCGAAAGCUUUGCUAAUACCGCAUACGAUCUAAGGAUGAAAGCAGGGGACCGCAAGGCCUUGUGCGUUUGGAGCGGCCGAUGGCAGAUUAGGUAGUUGGUGGGAUAAAAGCUUACCAAGCCGACGAUCGGUAGCUGGUCUUAGAGGACGACCAGCCACACUGGGACUGAGACACGGCCCAGACUCCUACGGGAGGCAGCAGUGGGGAAUUUUGGACAAUGGGCGAAAGCCUGAUCCAGCAAUGCCGCGUGCAGGAUGAAGGCCUUCGGGUUGUAAACUGCUUUUGUACGGAACGAAAAGGCUCUGGCUAAUACCUGGGGCACAUGACGGUACCGUAAGAAUAAGCACCGGCUAACUACGUG
rnacentral:rRNA from 1 species